rnacentral:pre_miRNA from 1 species
AAAUGCGCUGCUUCCCAUAAAUCGUGGCAUCCAAAGCGGUCUCACCCCUACUGAUUCCACAAGGAGUAUAGCAGCAGCCCUGUGAGAGUAGACCAGCUGAUGGCGAACGUCUUAAAAUGUACUGUUAUGCCUGAAGGACAGAGUUUGCAGAAGAGGCCUGAUCAAGUGGUUGGUUAGUACGGGUGAGCCGCUUUUGGAUGUGACGAUUUGGAGGAUAUAGCUUGCAUUU